rnacentral:lncRNA from 1 species
CAACCGUACUGGUUGCAAGCGUUCAGCCUCAAGGUUCCGCCAAUUUCCUGGUAGUUACCGGGUUUGAGUCCUAAUCCCGGAGGGGGUGUGUCUGGAAUGUCGAAGGAAUUUCAGUUUGCCGCUCUUGGAGAAAGCGUAGGGAUUGUGGUCGUCCAAUGUACUGGAAUCGCGUUUGGUGCACUGUCAACUUGCUGUACUAUGCUCUUUCCAGGGUUCUGGAUUAAAGGCCGUGGCUUUUCUGUUUGGAGGUAAAAGCUGAGUUGUGGGGAAUCUGGAUUGUUGGGAUG